ensembl:misc_RNA Y_RNA Y RNA
GGCUGGUCCAAUGGCAGUGGGUUAUCAGAACUUAUUAACAUUAGUGUCACUAAAGUUGGUAUACCACCCCCCCCCACUGCUAAAUUUGAUUGGCUUUAA